UACGUAGGGUGCAAGCGUUAAUCGGAAUUACUGGGCGUAAAGCGUGCGCAGGCGGUUUUGUAAGACUGUCGUGAAAUCCCCGGGCUCAACCUGGGAACUGCCUUUGUGACUGCAUAGCUAGAGUACGGUAGAGGGGGAUGGAAUUCCGCGUGUAGCAGUGAAAUGCGUAGAUAUGCGGAGGAACACCGAUGGCGAAGGCAAUCCCCUGGACCUGUACUGACGCUCAUGCACGAAAGCGUGGGGAGCAAACAGG
rnacentral:rRNA from 1 species